ensembl:lncRNA
UAGGGGUCCAAGCCAACAGGUUGGAUCCCUAUUGUUUUUGUAAGGAUUUUUAUUAGGGGUCCAAGCCAACAGGUUGGAUCCCUAUUGUUUUUGUAAGGAUUUUUCUUAUUAUUAUUCCUGCGCUAAAUGUGGUACCACAGCCCAAACCGUAAAUGGUGCCGACACGCCAAUUGCAUGACUUGAUCCAGGUCCGGCACCGCUACUCAGAUAACAAAAUCCAGACACGCCGGCCACUAGGUGGCGCUAUACCAAGGAAAGACGCGUUUGGGGCUAUAACUCCCACACCGAACCUCCCACAUUCAAAACCUUGUACACACAUAUUCACUGGAGUCUGCUGCAUCUUUU